UACGAAGGGGGCUAGCGUUGCUCGGAAUGACUGGGCGUAAAGGGCGCGUAGGCGGCUGCGCAAGUCGGAUGUGAAAGCCCCGGGCUCAACCUGGGAAUGGCGGUGGAGACCGGUGUACUAGAGUAUGGGAGAGGGUGGUGGAAUUCCAGGUGUAGCGGUGAAAUGCGUAGAGAUCUGGAGGAACAUCAGUGGCGAAGGCGGCCACCUGGCCCAAUACUGACGCUGAGACGCGAAAGCGUGGGGAGCAAACAGG
rnacentral:rRNA from 1 species